rnacentral:rRNA from 1 species
UACAGGGGGUGCAAGCGUUAUUCGGAUUUACUGGGCGUAAAGCGCGCGUAGGCGGCUUAGCAAGUUUGGUGUGAAAGCCCUCGACUCAAUCGGGGAAGUGCAUUGAAUACUGCUAGGCUUGAGUGUGGGAGAGGAGAACGGAAUUCCUGGUGUAGAGGUGAAAUUCGUAGAUAUCAGGAGGAACAACAGAAGCGAAGGCGGUUCUCUGGACCACAACUGACGCUGAAGUGCGAAAGCGUGGGGAGCAAACAGG